AAGUCGUAACAAGGUUUCCGUAGGUGAACCUGCGGAAGGAUCAGCAGUAAAUCUAUCAUUAUAAUCAAUGAUUUUCUCUCUACCCUGUGAUAAGAAUUAUGUGGUAUAAACAUAAUUUUUGUAAAGGAUUUAAUCCCAUAAUUUCACUUGGUGAUAUUAUUGGUAUAACUUUAGUGUGAAAUUACUACCUAAAACCUUACAGGAACCUCCCAUCCAGUAUUGGUUGUCAAGUAGUUAAUGGAUUACUUGAGAUUAUCCAUAAUUUUACUGGUAAAUUUGGGUUAACUUUUACAGUUAAAAACCCUAUUGUCCAAAGUUUAUUGGUCAUUUAUUAUACUUAACUGUAUAAUUAAUUAAAAAAUACAACUUUCAACAAUGGAUCUCUUGGUUCUC
rnacentral:misc_RNA from 1 species